rnacentral:tRNA from 2 species
GCCCUUGUAGCUCAGUUGGUAGAGCAACGGACUCUUAAUCCGUGGGUCGUAGGUUCGAGCCCUACCGGGGGUA